rnacentral:sRNA from 1 species
GAUCACAGCGGUGGAGUGGAGGAAGGGUAAACGCCGUGGUGGAGUGGUCCAUGUGGACCUGCUCCCCUUUGCUGCCAGGAGGUUAAUACCUCUGCCAACCGAGGCCACCCUCCCUCGGACCCCCAUUCGGAGGAAGCAGACCCAAGUUCGAAUUCUGACAUUGCCACUGAGCAGCCGUACAACUUCUGGGUGGACAAGUCCUUCACUUCUCGCCGGAGUGUGUGGAGGAGUGAUGGGCAGAACCAGCACUUCCCUCAGGCACUAGACCUAUCACGAGUGAACUUAGUUCCCUCCUAUACUCCUUCACUCUACCCUAAGAACACAGAUC